GUGAGGAAUAUUGGUCAAUGGACGGAAGUCUGAACCAGCCAUGCCGCGUGCAGGAAUAAGGUCCUAUGGAUUGUAAACUGCUUUUAUUCGGGAAUAAACCUCUUUACGUGUAGGGAGCUGAAGGUACCGAAGGAAUAAGCACCGGCUAACUCCGUGCCAGCAGCCGCGGUAAUACGGAGGGUGCAAGCGUUAUCCGGAAUCAUUGGGUUUAAAGGGUCCGCAGGCGGGCUAUCAAGUCAGAGGUGAAAUCCCACAGCUUAACUGUGGAACUGCCUUUGAAACUGAUGGUCUUGAAUUAAGUGGGCGUUGGCGGAAUAUGACAUGUAGCGGUGAAAUGCAUAGAUAUGUCAUGGAACACCGAAAGCGAAGGCAGCUAACGAUACUUAUAUUGACGCUCAUGGACGAAAGCGUGGGUAGCGAACAGGAUUAGAAACCCCAGUAGUCC
rnacentral:rRNA from 1 species